AGUUAUGUAACUGUCCAGCCACAAAUCACUUAUUAAACAACUGGAUUCAGAAGACCAAGAUCUGCAUUUGGGUCACUCCAGUUAUCUUGAGAUCUGGGACCCAGGUGGCUGGGGUGGCAGCUGAUCAUGUCAGGAGGACUCCUCUGCACAACAUCACAAGCACAGGAGAGAAUGCUAAACUUGAUUGGGAGCUCACAGAAGACCCCUGGAACCCAGAGCAAUAAGAUGAAUGCAUGAUAUCUCUUGGUAAAAUGGCCCAGAAGAAACACAGGAAGGAGUUAUGAAAAGAUAACACCCCCUUUGACUGACACAUGAGGCCUUCUCUGGAGGUAAGCUGGGGUUAUAAAACCUUCCAUGAGUGAGAGGCCGAAUCCAUCAGUCAUCUCAGAAAACCUCACGGCCAGUUCUACUCCAUAUGAAAUCUGUCUGGGCAUCAAUCUACUGAUGGAUGCAAUGAAGAUGUGGCUCAACACUAUUCUUACUGUGAUUCAGUGGAGUUUCGUACUCGGCAUUGGAUGGCUGCAUAACAUCCAGGAGAGACAUAAACAUAAGAAGAAAACUUAGGAAUGGAAUCAUUAUCAAGAAAAAACAAACCACAAAGGAAAGGUGAGUGUGUACUGGAAAAGUUCAGCCUGACAGAUACUGCCCUAGAUUCAGUGAUUUGC
rnacentral:lncRNA from 1 species